rnacentral:rRNA from 1 species
UACGGAGGGUGCAAGCGUUGUUCGGAAUUAUUGGGCGUAAAGGGCGCGUAGGCGGUUGUGAUAGUCAGAUGUGAAAUCCUCCGGCUUAACUGGAGAACUGCAUCUGAAACCUCAUAGCUAGAGUACAGGAGAGGGAAACGGAAUUCCCAGUGUAGAGGUGGAAUUCGUAGAUAUCGGGAGGAACACCAGUGGCGAAGGCGGUUUCCUGGCCUGAUACUGACGCUGAGGCGCGAAAGCGUGGGGAGCAAACAGGAUUAGAUACCCUGGUA